UUAGAUACCCCACUAUGCUUAGCCUUAAACGUAAAUGAUUUUAUAACAAAAUAAUUCGCCAGAGAACUACUAGCAACAGCUUAAAACUCAAAGGACUUGGCGGUGCUUUAUAUCCCUCUAGAGGAGCCUGUUCUA
rnacentral:rRNA from 1 species